rnacentral:rRNA from 1 species
GAUGAACGCUGGCGGCGUGCUUAACACAUGCAAGUCGAACGGAAAGGCCCUGCUUGCCGGGUAUUCGCGUGUCGAACGGGUGAGUAACACGUGGGUGUACUGCCCUGCACUUCGGGGUAAGCCUGGAGAACUGGGUCUAAUACCCGAUAUAAGCCCUCUUGCGGGUGAUGGUUGGAAAGUAUUUUCGGUGUAGGAUGAGCUCGCGGCCUAUCAGCUUGUUGGUGGGUAAUGGGCUACCAAGGCGGCGACGGGUCGGCGGCCCGGGCGGGUGGACGGCCCAAAUGGGGCUGGGAUACGGCCCAGACGUCUACCGGGGGGAGGAGGUGGGAAUUUUGGACAAUGGGCGCGAGGCGGGUGGAGGGACGCCGGGGGGGGGAAGACGGGCUUCGGGUUGGAAAACCCUUUCGCUAGGGGCGAAGCUUUUUGUGACGGUACCUAGAUAAGAAGCACCGGCUAACUACGUG